rnacentral:tRNA from 1 species
CAGGGAAUAGUUUAAGUGAGAAUAUCAGCUUUGGGAGUUGAAGGUGGAAGGCUCAAUUUCUUCCCUGA